rnacentral:rRNA from 1 species
CGCAUCUGUGCAUGCAGCAUAUCAAUAAGCGGAGGAAAAGAAACUAACAAGGAUUCCCUUAGUAACGGCGAGUGAAGCGGGAAGAGCUCAAAUUUGAAAUCUUCAAGGUUUUACCUUGACGAAUUGUAGUUUAAAGAAGUGUUUUCUGUUGAAGUUUUGGUAAAAGUUCUUUGGAAUAGGACAUCAUAGAGGGUGAGAAUCCCGUAUUUGACCAUUAUUUUCAGCUGUGUGAUACACUUUCAAAGAGUCGGAUUGUUUGGGAAUGCAGUCCAAAAUGGGUGGUAAAUUUCAUCUAAAGCUAAAUAUUGGCGAGAGACCGAUAGCGAACAAGUACCGUGAGGGAAAGAUGAAAAGAACUUUGAAAAGAGAGUUAAACAGUACGUGAAAUUGUCAAAAGGGAAGCGUUUGACACCAGUGUUGUUUUCUCGAAAAUCAAUUAAAAAGAGUUAGAUUUUGUUGUGUAUUGACCUUAACAGCUUGCAUUUCAAUUUUCUUGCUUUUUUUAAUGCACUUUUCGUUUAACAAGUCAACAUCAGUUUCUUUUGUUGUAAAAAGGUCAUUGGAAGGUGGCUUUCUUUUCGGAGAAAGUGUUUAUAGCCUUUGACUCCUGCAAUCGGAGAGACUGAGGUCUGCAGCGUAGAUCCUUCGGGGUUAGAUACAUUUGUAGCUAAGUUAUAGCUUUUUAUAGACAACUUGUUGACUAUGAUUAGUCUUGUAGCUUACUCGCUUAUGCUAUUUUACCUACGCUUAGGAUGUUGAUGUGAUACUGCGAGCA